rfam:Daphnia pulex DAPPTscaffold_597_Cont10172, whole genome shotgun sequence.
UUGUGGCGCAAUGGAUAACGCGCCUGACUACGGAUCAGGAGAUUCAAGGUUCAACUCCUGGCAA